ACUACGGGGGGCUGCAGUGGGGGAUAUUGGACAAUGGGGGGAACCCUGAUCCAGCGACGCCGCGUGAGUGAAGAAGUAUUUCGGUAUGUAAAGCUCUGUCAGCAGGGAAGAAAGAAAUGACGGUACCUGACCAAGAAGCCCCGGCUAACUACGUGCCAGCAGCCGCGGUAAUACGUAGGGGGCAAGCGUUAUCCGGAAUUACUGGGUGUAAAGGGAGCGUAGACGGUUAAGUAAGUCUGGAGUGAAAGGCCGGGGCCCAACCCCGGGACUGCUCUGGAAACUAUUGAACUUGAGUGCAGGAGAGGUAAGCGGAAUUCCUAGUGUAGCGGUGAAAUGCGUAGAUAUUAGGAGGAACACCAGUGGCGAAGGCGGCUUACUGGACUGUAACUGACGUUGAGGCUCGAAAGCGUGGGGAGCAAACAGGAUUAGAUACCCGUGUAGUC
rnacentral:rRNA from 1 species